AACGAACGCUGGCGGCAGGCCUAACACAUGCAAGUCGAGCGGAUCCUUCGGGAUUAGCGGCGGACGGGUGAGUAACGCGUGGGAAUAUACCCUUCUCUACGGAAUAGCCUCGGGAAACUGGGAGUAAUACCGUAUACGCCCUACGGGGGAAAGAUUUAUCGGAGAAGGAUUAGCCCGCGUUGGAUUAGGUAGUUGGUGGGGUAAUAGCCUACCAAGCCUACGAUCCAUAGCUGGUUUGAGAGGAUGAUCAGCCACACUGGGACUGAGACACGGCCCAGACUCCUACGGGAGGCAGCAGUGGGGAAUCUUAGACAAUGGAGGAAACCCUGAUCUAGCCAUGCCGCGUGAGUGAUGAAGGCCUUAGGGUUGUAAAGCUCUUUCAGCUGGGAAGAUAAUGACGGUACCAGCAGAAGAAGCCCCGGCUAACUCCGUGCCAGCCGCCGCAGUAAAAC
rnacentral:rRNA from 1 species